rnacentral:rRNA from 1 species
UACGUAGGGUGCGAGCGUUGUCCGGAAUUAUUGGGCGUAAAGAGCUCGUAGGCGGUUUGUCGCGUCGACUGUGAAAACCUGGGGCUUAACUCUGGGCCUGCAGUCGAUACGGGCAGGCUAGAGUGUGGUAGGGGAGAUCGGAAUUCCUGGUGUAGCGGUGAAAUGCGCAGAUAUCAGGAGGAACACCGGUGGCGAAGGCGGAUCUCUGGGCCAUUACUGACGCUGAGGAGCGAAAGCGUGGGGAGCGAACAGG